AGAUUGAACGCUGGCGGCAGGCCUAACACAUGCAAGUCGAGCGGCAGCACGGGUACUUGUACCUGGUGGCGAGCGGCGGACGGGUGAGUAAUGCCUAGGAAUCUGCCUGAUAGGUGGGGGAUAACGUUCGGAAACGGACGCUAAUACCGCAUACGUCCUACGGGAGAAAGGUGGGGGAUCUUCGGACCUCACGCUAUCAGAUGAGCCUAGGUCGGAUUAGCUAGGUUGG
rnacentral:rRNA from 1 species